GUGAUUUAAUUGGUAAUUUGGUCGACAUUUUGACAAUUAUAUUUAGCAAUAUUUCGAUAAAUGCGGACCUGCUUCUUCCUCUUUUCGUAGUGACGGUGUUUCGAUAACUCAGGUCAGUUUCACGGCAAAAAUAAGUGGUAGUUUUGAAAUUCGAAUGUGCAUUUAUUGAUGUAACGAUAAAGUACAUUUCCGAGAAUAAUUAGUGAAAGUUUCAGUAGGUGUCGAUUUUUGUAAAGUAGUGUAUAGGCGAUGGAUUGGCUCAGCCAUGUGCUCGUCGUGUCAGCGGGGCGCAAGCCGUCAUGGGCGGGAGAUGUAGGCUACACUACAAUGCACGUGAUUGAUGGUUGAACAUUCACUCUCGUUGCAACGUAGUCUCCUCCAAACAAACGUGGUAUAUGUACGAUUGACAUCUGGCCUUUAUAUCGUGGGCAUUCUACGAUUAAUGAACAGCCAAUCAGGAGUCCGUUCUAGUGAAGGAGGUUAGGUUGUUGAUCUUUUGUUUUAAUAUAUGGUCACUGUCCGCUCGUCCCCGCUCCCCGGGCGCCCGCCCGCCCGCCCCCCCCCCUCCGAUUCCACCCUACCAUAGACCCCGCAUUUGCCCUACCCUUUUUAGUGCAGGCAAUGCUUUGAAUUACCGAACAUCUGGUUAUGCGCUCCGACCGUGCGACCCGACCAGUACGAACUGCCGGUGUAAAAGUAGAAAAUGUCCCCUGGAAAAAGUGUCCGGCCCUAUUGUAUUCUGCUAUAAUAAUAAUAUUUUUAUGGUCCUAUUAUCUGGUCUAUCGAGACCAUGACUAACAAUGCAAUAGCUCAGAGAUUGAAGUACAUAAUAGAAUCCUUUGAUUCCCGGACAUUCUAUCCUAGGACAUUUUAAACUUCUACACCGGUCCAGUGUAAUCGUUAUUGUAGUCCUCUGAAGAUAUCAGCCCGAGUCAGCUUGCAAGCACAAGGAAAAUAGUGGAAGAGUACCCUCCCCUGAUCCCCACCCAUAAACGUGCCCGCCCACGGACCCCAACCACCACCACGCCUUUGGCUGCACAUUGAUUUUUUUACUCUCUCCGCCUCACGUUUGAUUGGAAAUGCCCCCAAGCUCAGGAUGAUAGGCCUACUUUUUCCUAUUCCGCUGGGUGAUUAGUCAACCGAACGUAAUCACGACGCCAACAGAGGUUCUUCGAAUGCAUUGCGAAAGUGACGAAAUCAGCGCCUCCAGUCGCAAGAUUGCGAAAUGCCCGGUUAGCAGAAUUUCUUAAGAGUCGGACCUCAAUUCAUUUGUCGUAAUAUAUCGCUUACCAUCGGGACGAAAUGGAUUCUACCAGUAACAAUAAUGAUACAGGCUGCACCAGCAAGUAGGCCUGAGGCAACUUCUCAACCUGUGAACAAUAGGAAGUCAGUCAAAGCUAAGUGGCGCCACCUGAGCUAUGACAUAAUCAUGAUGGUCAACAGGUAGUGGAGACAAGAUAAAAGCCAUUGCAUAACAUAUUUGCCCACCUCAAGGCCAAACAACUAGUAGAUAAGGUAGGUGUAUGUAAACUUAUGACACUCUGAAAUAUGCAUUGUUCUCAAAUAGAGCUCAUAAAAACAAUGAAAUUAAUGAAACAGAAGUAUGUUUUUUAGUUGAUGACGAGAUGUGAUGAUAGACUUCCUGUAAACUAUAUACUAUUCCCGCGUUCUGUAGUUGCAGAGAAAGAGACAAGGUUAUAUCAUCCUUUGAAUUGUAUGUAAACUUUCGAGCACGACUGUACUCUCUAAUUUUUGCCUUGGCCUCGAGAAAUGAUAGUGUAUUUUCAAAUUCUUUCUUACCAAACCUGAGUGUGUGUUAUUAUUGCACCACCAAUAUCCAAUUUGAUAACCAGUACGCAUGUACCCAAUGGUUUGGUUGUCUAAUUUUCUAAUUGUAAUUUCUAAUUCUAGUGUAAAAGUCAAUAGUUCCCUUUUUUGUCAUGGUAAUGUUGUGGCAUUUUCUAUUCUUGGCUCACAUGGGUGAGCUUAUAUCCUUACGAUUUCAUCUUGUCCAGCAUUGUUGGCUUUGACUUUGUCUGUCGUUAAGCACUUUUAUCAUAUACCCUAAGUGCAGUGAUCUGGCAGACGUAUAUGAUAAAUAGAAAACUGCACGAGUGUCUGAUCCGAGUAUCCAGAUUGCACUCGAUGAUUUUCUACGCAGGGUGAGAGCUUUUCAAGCCGUAGAAAAUCAUCUCGUGCAAUCUGGAUACUCGGAUCAGACACACGUGCGGUUUUCUUAUUGUACAUGUACAUGUAAGAAGCACUAUCAAUGGAAACACGUACCACUUUUUUCAGAAAAGAAAAGCCCAGCAAGGGAAAAGCAAGCAAGGCGAAGGGAGACUUAUUGCGCAGCUGAGAGAAUAGACAACUACGACCCCAAAAACAACACGUAUUACAUAAAGUGGCAAGGAUAUGAUGCGUCCCACAACUCAUGGGUGAAAGCGGAAGACGUAACUUCUCCUCUCAUCUCUUCUUACAAAGAAAAAUUAGGUUCAGAAACGCACAAGAAGUGAUGCACCUCAUGUCUUAGCCCUUCGAUUGUUGAAAAAAUUUAUGUGAAUUUGUGCAAAUCCUCCCACCUGUGUUUUUUUGUUCAGUGGAAUUCACGUAUUUCGGUAUUCCUUCUUCACCUCCACGCAUUAUUCAUUCUGACAUAAACUCACAUGAUCACUUUUGAUGAAAGAUUACAUAAUGGAUAAUAUUGAAUUGGCACAAAUAUAGUAACAAUGUAAACUUAUCAUAUCUUUCAAAGGUCUCAUUAAAAGUAAAUGUAAGUUACAUGUACAUGUACUGUGGAAUUAUUGUUUUUUCAGACAAUCUGUGGCUGUUGUAUACAUGUAUCAUUUAAUAAACGUGGCGUUUUUCAUAUUAUUAGAUACAUAUAGUCUUGCCUUUAU